rnacentral:lncRNA from 1 species
AGUCAUGUUACCCAUCUACCAAGGGGUCAUGAAUCCCAUACGCCUCUACCAAGGAAGCGAGACAGGGUAACACUACGAGGCCUUUACAAAGUUCCAUUAGUUUCAGAAAACCCGCUACAGUUUCUAGGAAGCUCCAAUGCAGGGGCCCCUCGCCUGGCCGCCAUCGCAGCAAAAUCAACCCAAGGGCCUCCCUACACUGACCACUCCUCUACUGCCCUUGCCCCUUUCAGGUAAGGUAGUCCUCCACUAGCUUUCCUAAUUAGUCAGCCAAGGGCGUCCCAUACCACUCUUGUGGUAGCACUGCUUUCCCGGGUGGUCGAUCCAUAUUCCAAUUAACAUAAUGAUCUUAUCAUGAACAGUAAAUAACAAACUGAUAAUAAAAGUGAUCAUGAAUAAUGUGUAUCUCCAUACCCAAAACCACAUAAAGCAAUAGCAAGUACUACCCAAAAAGUUCAGUGGAAUCAAGGUAUAAAGAUAGUCAAACUAGGGUCACCUAAAGGGUCCCAUCAACAUUAACCUAUGCACAUCAUUAUGAUUAAUAAGAACAUGAAUGGGUAAAAAGAAGUGAUCAAGGGCACAACUUGCCUUCAAAGAGCUCCUACUCAGCAGUCUCCACCUACUGAACCCCUGGAUCCUCUAUAACUUGCUCGUCUACUCGCAACAAUACAACAAACAUGGUAUAGCAAAAUUAACAUCACACCAAACAACAGAUCAAAAUGUACGAUAAUAUUCUACGCUGCGUAACAAGAUCGUAGGAACAAGAAUUACUAAAUUUGGAAUUACGGUUAUUUAGUUAUGAAUUUCUAAAGUUAUUUAGCACUUAGAAUAGAUUAAUUCAAGUGAACAGUUUUAUUCCAAGUUACAUGGCUAAACAAUGUUACUAGUUGAUAUAAAAUAUUAAUACAAAAUUAUUGCAACUGGAAUGGGUCAAUUUAGAGCUAAAAUGAAUUAAAUAUGAAUUAUACAAGUUUCUAGAAUUAUUUUUGUAUUAAAAAUCAAUUUCUAUAAUUAAUUUUCUAUUUUCAUUGCUCUCUGGACCGCGCGUCAAAUACUAAAAAGUGCAGGGGCUAACUCGCAAAAGUUCCUAAGACUCAGGUUAACACAUGGAAGGACUGCGGGUUGAUUUUAUAAAAACAGAGGGUCUCUUAAGUAAGUUUGGCACUGCGAAGGGGUACCGACUGUUCUAAGUCGUCCGAUUGCGCGCCAGAGGUCAGGACUAGAUCACCGAGGCAUCACGACCGGUAUACACCCGCAGCCAUCGGAUCGAAUCACGACGACCAUGAUUUUAUUUAGCCCGAACGGUGCACAUGCCUGAUCCGAGCCGUCUAUUUACACUUCGAUGAUCAAGAUUCUAAUGAAUCCAAGGGAUAUGCCUUAACCUAAUCACCACCGUUGAUUCAUAACCAACGACCCUAGAUCAAACUCGAGGCGAAUGAUCAACCUCGGAUCAGGACCGUUCGCUGGAGUAUCAACGAUACUCCAACCGUCCCUGACCUCCCACAUGGAGCAUGAUGGCGCAAAUUCCCCACCCCGCCAACGGACACACCGGAGACACGAAUUGGCCCCUGGAUCGACCCAACUUUCACGUCCACCGAUAACAACCCCCAUGGAGGUAAGUGCAAAAUAGAUGUAUGGCAGAUUUACCGUAUCCCAGGAAGGUGGUGCUCCAAUUCCUGUGAUGUGGCGGUCCCAUGGUGCCUCUGGGUCGCCGACGAGCAAUCACAACGCUACUCCUACGAUCACCCCGAGGAAAGCAAUGGGAACCUUCCCACACAACACAGCCAAUCACCCGGACACGCAACCCGAGACACGACGCCGGCAUAAGGCCUUCCCUCUCCCCAGCCCGCGGCAAAUCUUGAUGUGCAGUAAUGACUACCGGUUCUUGGGUCCGGAAUGGUGGUUGAGGAAGAA